CCCGCUGAACUUAAGCAUAUCAAUAAGCGGAGGAAAAGAAACUAACAAGGAUUCCCCUAGUAACUGCGAGUGAAGCGGGAAAAGCUCAAAUUUAAAAUCUGGCGGUCUUUCGGCCGUCCGAGUUGUAAUCUGGAGAAGCGUUUAUCCGCGUUGGACCGUGUACAAGUCUUCUGGAAGGGAGCGUCAUAGAGGGUGAGAAUCCCGUCUUUGACACGGACUACCAAUGCUUUUGUGAUGCGCUCUCGAAGAGUCGAGUUGUUUGGGAAUGCAGCUCAAAAUGGGUGGUAAAUUCCAUCUAAAGCUAAAUAUUGGCGAGAGACCGAUAGCGAACAAGUACCGUGAGGGAAAGAUGAAAAGCACUUUGGAAAGAGAGUGAAACAGUACGUGAAAUUGUUGAAAGGGAAACGCUUGAAGCCAGUCGCGUCGCCCGAGACUCAGCCUCGCCUCGGCUUGGUGUACUUCUCGGCCGACGGGUCAGCAUCAAUUUUGCCCCUUGGAUAAUGGCGAGGGAAAUGUGACACCUUUACGGGUGUGUUAUAGUCUCUCGUCGCAUGCAAGGGUCGGGAUUGAGGAACUCAGCACGCGCCUUUGGGCGUCGGGGUUCGCCCACGAUACGUGCUUAGGAUGUUGGCAUAAUGGCUUUAAACGACCCGUCUUGAAACACGG
rnacentral:rRNA from 1 species